rnacentral:rRNA from 1 species
UAGUAAUAAAAUGUUAUUAAUAUUAAUUAUCCCGAAAUAAAUAAGAUCUAAUUAAUAAAAUUAAGUUUUCUGUUAGGAAAUUAAGUAAAUUAAUUUAUACUGUAGCACAAGUAUACCAAAAACUAUAAUUAGAGAUGAAAUGUCUAUCAAUUUUUAUGAUAUCUGGAUGAAAACAAAAUAUAUUUAGUAUAAUAUCUACAAUUUUAAGGUUUUUAGAUCUUUAAAAUUAGAAUAUAAGUGAUUUAUUUAGUUAAGAUUUAUAUGAAAUAAAUAUUUCAUAAUAUUACAAUAAUUUUACUAUCUAUUUAUUAAUAUUUAACAUAUAUUUCAAUAAUUUAGUUUUCAAAUAUCUAUAAUAAUUUAAUUUAAAAUUUAUAAUGUUUAAAUUAGUAUAAUUAAAUAUUAAUAUAAAUUCUUAAAAAAGAACUCGGCAAAAUAAAAUACAUUUAGAAUAAGUUCUUGUCUGUUUAUCAAAAACAUAGCCUAAAGCAGUUCUAAAUUAUAAUAUUUAUUUUAGGUGACCCCUGCCCGCUGAAUAUAAUUAUUUAAAUGGCCGCAGUACUUUGACUGUGCUAAGGUAGCAUAAUAAUUUGUCUUUUAAUUGGAGACUUGCAUGAAUGGAAUUACAUAGGACUAGCUGUUUCUUUAAGAAUUUAUAAAAUUUACUUAAUGAGUGAAAAUUCUCAUAAAAAAUAAUAUGAAAGACGAGAAGACCCUUAGAAUUUUUCUAUAAUUAAUUAAAUAUUAAAUAAUUUAUUUUAUUAUAUAAUUUAUAUAUAGUUUAGUUGGGGCAACUAGUAUUCAUAUAAAAUAAUACUAAAUUACUUUACCUACAUAUCAAUAUUUAUAAUAAAUGAAUAAAUUACCUUAGGGAUAACAGCAUAAUUAAUUUAUUUAGUUUGUGACCUCGAUGUUGGACUAGGUAUAUUAUAUAAUUAACCAUUAUAAUAAUUUGUUCUGUNC